rnacentral:rRNA from 1 species
AUUGAACGCUGGCGGCAGGCCUAACACAUGCAAGUCGAACGAGUGGCGGACGGGUGAGUAAUAUCUGGGAAACUGCCUGAUAGCGGGGGAUAACUACUGGAAAGGGUAGCUAAUACCGCAUACCAUCGGAUGUGCCCAGAUGGGAUUAGCUAGUAGGUGGGGUAAAGGCUCACCUAGGCGACGAUCCCUAGCUGGUCUGAGAGGAUGACCAGCCACACUGGAACUGAGACACGGCCCAGACUCCUACGGGAGGCAGCAGUGGGGAAGAUUGGACAAUGGGGGAAAGCCUGAUUCAGCCAUGCCGCGUGUAUGAAGAAGGCCUUCGGGUUGUAAAGUACUUUUAGCGGGGAGGCGGUAUCUGCAGAAGAAGCACCGGCUAACUCCGUGCCAGCAGCCGCGGUAAUUC